GUGUCAGCCGCCGCGGUAAUACGGAGGGUGCAAGCGUUGUUCGGAAUUACUGGGCGUAAAGCGCGCGUAGGCGGUUUGCUAAGUCAGAUGUGAAAGCCCAUGGCUCAACCAUGGACGUGCAUUUGAAACUGGCAGACUUGAGUAUUGGAGGGGGUGGUGGAAUUCCCGGUGUAGAGGUGAAAUUCGUAGAUAUCGGGAGGAAUACCGGUGGCGAAGGCGACCACCUGGCCAAAUACUGACGCUGAGGUGCGAAAGCGUGGGGAGCAAACAGGAUUAGAUACCCCGGUAGUCC
rnacentral:rRNA from 1 species